AUCAUUUUGAAAUUAGAACGGAUCCGGGAGUAUAUAAGCCGUACUAAGCGUGGCCUACGGCAGUUCUAGUUCUGACUCGAAAGUGUAAAGAAGAAGAAGAAGAAAAGAAGAAGUAGUGAAAAGUGGAAGUGUUCCAAGAGGAAGAAGAUAGAAGAGACUUAGUGUUCGGUGCGGUGUGACGCGUUGAAGGUACCGCCGCCCACAAGAGGAACAGCGGCAGACCGGCGAAGUGCAAGUUCAGAAAAAGUGAACGCAAAUAAAGACUCGUUCCUAUAA